rnacentral:rRNA from 1 species
UACGUAGGGUGCAAGCGUUGUCCGGAAUUAUUGGGCGUAAAGAGCUCGUAGGCGGUCUGUCGCGUCGGCUGUGAAACCCCGAGGCUCAACCUCGGGCCUGCAGUCGAUACGGGCAGACCAGAGUAUGGCAGGGGAGACUGGAAUUCCUGGUGUAGCGGUGAAAUGCGCAGAUAUCAGGAGGAACACCGGUGGCGAAGGCGGGUCUCUGGGCCAUAACUGACGCUGAGGAGCGAAAGCGUGGGGAGCGAACAGG